UACGGGGGGGGCAAGCGUUGUUCGGAAUUACUGGGCGUAAAGCGCACGUAGGCGGAUUGUUAAGUCGGGGGUGAAAUCCUGGAGCUCAACUCCAGAACUGCCUUCGAUACUGGCGAUCUCGAGUUCGGGAGAGGUGAGUGGAACUGCGAGUGUAGAGGUGAAAUUCGUAGAUAUUCGCAAGAACACCAGUGGCGAAGGCGGCUACCUGGACCGGUUCUGACACUGAGGAGCGAAAGCGUGGGGAGCGAUCCGG
rnacentral:rRNA from 1 species